rnacentral:rRNA from 1 species
GCAGCAGUGGGGAAUUUUGGACAAUGGGCGCAAGCCUGAUCCAGCAAUGCCGCGUGCAGGAAGAAGGCCUUCGGGUUGUAAACUGCUUUUGUCAGGGAAGAAAUUUUCUGGGCUAAUACCCCGGGAGGAUGACGGUACCUGAAGAAUAAGCACCGGCUAACUACGUGCCAGCAGCCGCGGUAAUACGUAGGGUGCGAGCGUUAAUCGGAAUUACUGGGCGUAAAGCGUGCGCAGGCGGUUAUGUAAGACAGAUGUGAAAUCCCCGGGCUCAACCUGGGAACUGCAUUUGUGACUGCAUGACUGGAGUGCGGCAGAGGGGGAUGGAAUUCCGCGUGUAGCAGUGAAAUGCGUAGAUAUGCGGAGGAACACCGAUGGCGAAGGCAAUCCCCUGGGCCUGCACUGACGCUCAUGCACGAAAGCGUGGGGAGCAAACAGGAUUAGAUACCCUGGUAGUCCACGCCCUAAACGAUGUCAACUGGUUGUUGGACGGCUUGCUGUUCAGUAACGAAGCUAACGC